rnacentral:pre_miRNA from 1 species
UUUUUUUAGUUCUCUCCUCAUUUUUAUGUUUGGAUUUAGAGUGAAGUCGCUGGAGGCAGCGGUUCAUCGAUCAAUUCCUGUGAAUAUUUUUGUUUUCAAAAGCAUGAAUCGAUCGAUAAACCUCUGCAUCCAGCGCUUACUCUUCCUCAUCUGUUUAAUAAUCUAUUUGAGAAUGCUCAAAAGA